UCGCAAACUCGAUCACUAGCUCUGCAUAAUGUAGCAGAAGCUAAGGGAACCAGGUUUGCUAAAGUAAUUGUGGUGAUGGGAACAUAUUUGCCUCAAAAGCUACUGAGGUGGCUCCUCUCAUCCUAGAACAGAA